rnacentral:lncRNA from 1 species
GCAUAACUUGUAAUCAAGGAGAAAAAAUAGAUUUUUAAAAAGUCCCUAAAAGGAGGUGGUCUACAUCUUGAAGAAGGCAGUAGGCCAGGGGGCCAUCUGCAAGGUCAACCCACGCCUCUUUUACCUUGGAUCACCCUUUCCGACUCCCUUCCAGAAGAGCCAGUGCUUUCAGGAUAACGAGGAACACAGGGCCAGCAACCCAAGCCCCGGUCCCGCUGUCUGCCAUGGCACGUGUAAGGAGAGACGUGCUUUUCCCAGGAGGGGCGGUCAUUGCCCCCAAGCAUCUCCUCCUGGGAUUGCAUCUAGGUUCAGAACAAGGGGGACAAAGACAAUUCCCGCCCAACUGUCACCCUCCAGAUUUUCUCUGUCCCCUUAUUUUCUAUUCCACUUCUUGAUCUUUGCCAAACACAUAUGAGAAAAAGAACACCCCUGACAUAAAACUGGGGAUGCUGGCACCCAGGACUCCCCCUGGAACCCGCUUCCAGCCUUGAUGGUGAGGAUGCUGACUGAGGACCCGGCAUGAAGUUGGCUGCUGCAGCCCCUUGUCCCGUCCCAGCCCAGUUAGCUGCUGCC